UACGUAGGUGGCAAGCGUUGUCCGGAUUUAUUGGGUUUAAAGGGUGCGUAGGCGGUUUUAUAAGUCAGUGCUGAAAUAUCCCGGCUUAACCGGGAGGGUGGCAUUGAUACUGUAGAACUUGAGUCGAGUUGAGGUUGGCGGAAUUGACGGUGUAGCGGUGAAAUGCUUAGAUAUCGUCAAGAACACCGAUAGUGAAGACAGCUAACUAAGCUCAAACUGACGCUGAGGCACGAAAGUGUGGGGAUCAAACAGG
rnacentral:rRNA from 1 species